AACCAUAGAAACCUGCGGAGUACCUGCGGAAGGAUCAUUACCGAGUCACGUGCUCAAAUAACCCUUCUGUGGACCUGAAAUAAAACCGUUGCCUCGGCGGGCGGUCCCCCCAACCAAACCCCACGUGGUGGGUUAGGGGACCAGACAGUCCGGCACGCUUAAGGCGUCCGGCGCCAGCCGCUGGCCCCAAACAAUUAAGCUCCUAGUAACCUUUACCUUCUGAGUUUCAAUAUUUUAAAA
rnacentral:misc_RNA from 1 species